rnacentral:rRNA from 1 species
ACGCUCGACACCUACGGAGGCAGCAGUGGGGAAUAUUGCGCAAUGGGGGGCAACCCUGACGCAGCAACGCCGCGUGAUUGAAGAAGGCCUGGUUGUAAGANUUAUNAGGNGAAAUANAGACUGAGAAUAAGACUCCGGCCGUAACUACGUGCUAGCAGCCGCGGUAAGUACUGAGCGGGCGUGGCGAAGGCG